CAGUUUUUGUCACAGAAUGCUUCAGCUGCCAGAUCUAUCCGUGCCAGCACCAGGAGGUUUGUUCUCACAACAGAAGUGAGCAGCUGUGGAAGCAGGGAGGUCCCAGCUGCCUCCUCUGGCAGUGCUGUGGGCACGGACCACUGUGCUGAUGGAAAUGACCCUGGGAACCAGCUCUAUUCUGUUGAAUGGAAGGCGUGUCUUUCUGAGAGAAUUAGUAAUAAAUUAAGGACAGACCUGGAAGGAGAAGGGACACUGAAACUGAUAUCUCAGUCUGAAUUCAGUGGCCACCUGCACAGAGAAAAGCACGGAGCCUGGGAAGAUACAUACACAUUUGAGGAGAGAGAGCUCAUCCUGGGCAGCCUCAGCAAAGCCUUCCCUGCUCUUCAGGACCUUCACGGCUACAUUCUUCUUCUUCCUACAAAAGGAACCACAGCUCUACAUCAUGCAGAACCCACCAGCUUGCUGCAGGCCUGGACCAGGUCAGAGAACUUCAGCCCAAAAACGUACUGGUCCCUGUUAGCUACAGCAGGGAGCAGUCAUGCUUCACCUCGCCUGCACAGAAGGGUGCAAGGAGCCACCCCACCACUUGCCAUGCACCCCAUCGCCUGGACCUGUGGAGUUGGAGUACUUAGCAGAGUGAUAUGUGCCUUCAUCUUCAUCCAGCACAGACGUGACCCCAAACCUGCCAUUCAAGAACAUCAUCUUUCUGAGGACACGAUUAACAUGGUGACAUCCUCUCACAGCACUUACAUUGUCCAGAGAGAGGCAGCUGCUUCCCACAGAGCCUGCUGCCUGCAGGAGCAUCAGAGGGGCUCCUUCCAUCCCCAGAGAUGGAAAUCAAGAAACCAGGCAGAGACUGGAAGAAACGUGAAUUAUGAGAACUAAUAAAUAAGUCUUCCCUGCACUAGGGAAUUUUAUAAUAAAAGCUGUUUUGUGCAAAUUUUAAUGCAACAGAACCCUGUUGUAGUAAUGGAUUUUACCACAGGAGCGUGGUGUGGACGGAGAGAAACAGGGCCAAGCCUAAGCACCCAGCAAGGGAGCUGCAGCAGGUGCCCACAGUGAGGAGGAUGCUGUUACCUAGAACUCCAACAGCAAGCAGUGGGGAGAGAUGGGCACCACUCACUGCCCCUGCGCUGGGCAGUGCCUCCUGGUCAGCCACGUAGGGACAAACUUGAGAUGUUAAAGAAAUCACGUUUAGCUCUACUCUUAUGUCUUAGUUAUUGCUUUGAUAAAAGCUGACUUUCACAGAUACGCUCAGAGAAAGUAAAAAAUCUCCAACAUCCAGAAGCACUACUGAGAAGUAAAGAGGAGCCCGCUUCCCUGGCAGCCUGAGCCAGCUGUGUGGACAGAACUCAUCUGAGCACAGCAAGUAACAGCAGAAGAGACGCAACAGGACAUAGAGCUGCCAGUGCAGAGCAGGAGAGACUGGAUCCCUAGGAGAGCUCCUCAGUC
rnacentral:lncRNA from 1 species